rnacentral:rRNA from 1 species
GAUAAACGCUGGCGGCGUGCCUUACGCAUGCAAGUCGAACGAGCUCCAGGGCUUCGGCCCUGGCGCGAGUGGCGAACGGGUGAGUAAGACGUGCGUAACCUGUCCGAAAGUGGGGAACAACCCCGCGAAAGCGGGGCUAAUACCGCAUAUGGUCGCCGGUGGGAGACCGGUGGACAAAAGCCUUCGGGCGCUUUCGGAGGGGCGUGCGGCCGAUUAGCUUGUUGGUGGGGUAACGGCUCACCAAGGCGACGAUCGGUAGCUGGUCUGAGAGGACGGCCAGCCACACGGGGACUGAGACACGGCCCCGACUCCUACGGGAGGCAGCAGCGAGGAAUUUUGCGCAAUGGGCGAAAGCCUGACGCAGCAACGCCGCGUGGGGGACGAAGGCCUUCGGGUCGUAAACCCCUUUUGCAGGGGAAGCAACUGACGGUACCCUGCGAAGAAGCCACGGCUAACUACGUG